GUUUUAUGAUGAAACUCAUGCGUGUCAACUGAUCCCAGACCACCCUUGGGCUCCUGGUUGCUGGUUGGCGUUCUGUCAUCCAGGUUUUACUGGGGCCUCGGGGCUCUGUGGGCAUGAUCUGACUGUCAAGCUGAAAAC
ensembl:snoRNA small nucleolar RNA SNORD10